rnacentral:rRNA from 1 species
AUUAAAUAGAGUUUGAUCCUAGCUCAGGAUGAACGCUGGCGGCGUGGAUAAGGCAUGCAAGUUGAACGGAACUAAUCCGACGGAAGUGUUGAUCGAAGUUGAUAAGUAUUUAUACAAGUUAACCUAGUGAUAUAUGGAAGACGGACAGUUUAGUAGCAAACGAGGUAGUAAUAUUUAGGAACGCACCCCAGAGUCUCGAAUAGCCCACCGAAAGGUGGAGUAAUACGGGAUGGUACCGCAAGGUUAAAGAUUUAUCGCUCUGGGAGCGGCUUAAACAGUAUCAGCUAGUUGGUAAGGUAAUGGCUUACCAAGGCUAUGACGCUUAGGAGAGGUGAGAGCCUGACCUCCACCGAUG